AGUUAAAAAUUUCAUUCAUUUCUAUUGUUAAAAAAUUGGCGUUGCUGGAAUAACCAAAUAGUUACACAUGAUGUGCCACGGGUACCUCAUGUUGACAUAUAGGAACCAAUUUUUAAUAAUAGAAAUGGAUGAAACUUUUAACA
rfam:Gossypium hirsutum cultivar TM-1 unplaced genomic scaffold scaffold246.1, whole genome shotgun sequence